UGGGUUUCUGUGUGUUUGAAGCCACCAAGCUCACGAUAUGUAUGAUGUAUCUUGUAUGCCAGUGGCAUUAUUGUUCUUUCAGCAAGCAGCUGCAUAUGGUGGCUUUGUGCGUGGUUAUCCUCGACCGGCCCUGCUGCUUGCACCGCUACAUAAUGCUUGGUGGUUUUGCGGCUAUAUUAUAUUCAUAAAAUAAUAUUUUUAGCAGUAGUUGGUUAUCGUAGAAAAGAGCUAUAAUAAAAUCAGCUAAUUUAAGAUAACAAAAAUGGAUGAAAAGGUUAUUAGAGGCCUUAUGAAAGUUCCUCGUGAUAAAUAAAAGAUAAUCUAUCAAAUGCACCUAUACCCUUGAUACCCUUC
rnacentral:lncRNA from 1 species